rnacentral:lncRNA from 1 species
AAAUGAUUGGCUGUAGCAAACUGCUUAAAACAAAUUUCACACUUGUGAGGUUUUUCUCCAGUGUGCACUCUCAAAUGUAUUUUCAAAUGAUUGGCUGUAGCAAACUGCUUAAAACAAAUUUCACACUUGUGAGGUUUUUCUCCAGUGUGCACUCUCAAAUGUUUUUUCAAAUCACUUGCUGUAGCAAACUGCUUUAGACAAAUUUCACACUUAUGAGGUUUUUCUCCAGUGUGCACUCUCAAAUGUUUUUUCAAAUCACUUGCUGUAGCAAACCGCUUUAGACA